GCACAACCAAUAGUCACUGUCUCAUAUUCUGGGGCCUGGAAGUCCAAGAUCAAGGUGUGAGCAGGGCAGGUCCCUCCUGAGGCCUCUGUCUUUGGCUGGCAGAUGAUGUCUUCUCCCUAUAUCCUCAUAUGGUUGUCCUUUAUGUGUCUGUGUCAUGACUUCCUCUUCUUAUAGGACCCCAGUUAAAUGGCUUAAGACUUGCCAGAACCAGAAAGGGGCUGGGCAGAUGGCUGGGAGGAGACUGGCACUGGAGCUGUGUCCCAGCCAUUCUCCGGGGAACCAGUCUGGUGUGUUAGCAGUUUCUGUUGAAAUUGAUCCAGGGAGCUUCCCAGAAGGGCCUCCCAGGCUCCCAAAAUAAGGCCUUUGUGGCUAGUGAUGCCUGCUGGCUUCCCCAAGUGCAGGAGCCGCCAGAGAUAAGAGAAUGCAGGGCAUCUGGCUUAAUCUCCUACACAAGUGAGAGGGGUGGUAUCCCAAUGUGGCUCCCAACUUGCAAUACACAGACUUAGCUUUAUCCACAACCACCUGAGCAGCGCCAUGGGAAAAGAAUGGAAUGUCCCAGUCCCACCAGCCCUCCCUCCCCUCCUCACGGUGUCUCCCAGAAGCAGGAGCUCAGGGCCCCUCCUCUUUCUCUGUUCUUUGCAGUUUCGAUGCAGAGUUGUUCCUCCUCCCAGAAACCUAACUCUUUUGAAUAGUUCUGAUCAACCCAGCCAGAUAGCAAUGCACUAUCCCUGCCUACUUUGGAGGGUUUUAUCAGGUGACUUGGAGAGGGGAUGGGAGAAUAAACUAGAGGAAGGGCAGCAGGCACUUAGACCUCACAAUAUCAUAACUGCCUGGGUGACCCAGGACUGCUGUAACACAGAGCGCUUAAAACAGUACACAUCUGUUCUUCCAGAGCUCUAGGGGGCCAGAUGUCAGAAAUCAAGGGUUCAGCUGGACUGUGCUGUCCCAGCGCUGUCAGGGAGAGUCUUUCCUGCCUUUUCUAGCUCUGGGGACCUCAAGCAUCCCUUGGCUUAUGGCCUUGCCACUCUAGUCUCUGACUCUGACUUCAUGGGACCUUUUCUACUUUUCUUUCUCUGUCUUAGUCUCCCUCAGCCUUUACCUCAAGGACACUUGACAUUGGAUGCAGGGCCCACCUUAAGGCCAGGAACAUCUCCUUUGGGACCCUUACCUGAGUUAUAUCAGCAAAGACCUCUUUUCCACAAGUUACAUUCACAAGGUUCUAGGGUUAGAGCUCAGACAUAUCUUUCUGGGGCCACCGUUCACCCUACUGCAGCUGGUUUCUCCCUGUCACCAUCAGCCCCAACUUUAUCUUUCAUGUUUCUGCUCUGCACUGGGAUGCUGGGGUUGCAACUCUGUAAACAGCAAUUCCAGGACUUCUUUACCAACUGCUCUUGUAAGACUGUUCAGCCAGGACGUGCUAGAGGCAGACUGGAAGUGCAAGGUGGGGUGUCCUGGUCCUGCUUUCCCACUCUUUCCUGCACCCCUCCUGAAGCAGCCCCAAGUGCUCCAGCACCAGUCCUCUGCAGGGCCCAAGGCAGAACCCAAGUAGCCAAUAAUGCCCUCCUCCUGCUCCACCUCUGACCCAGGGGACUCCUCUGGGCUUGGUCCCAGGCCCCACCUGCCCUAAUUGUAGACACAAUUGUUUGUUCUGUAGUGUUGAUGGCGCUUGCCUCGGGAAUAUAUCUUGUAUCCCAUGGAAAAGUCGGAGGAAGCACAUGUUAACUGAGCAGUCUUCCCCGUCAUUCGUGGGAUACUUCCCAGAAAUCCCAGUGGGUGCCUGAGACCUUGAGGAGCACCCCACCCCACUCAGGCUGUUUUCCUCUGUAUAUACAGACCUAGAAAAAAGUUUAAUUUAUGAAUUAAACAUGGUAAGACAUCAACAACAGUAAGUAAUAAUAAAAUAGAGCAAUGAUAACAAGAUCCUGAAAUAAAAGUUACAUGAAUGUGAUCUCUUCCUCAAAAGAGCCCUGCAGGCUGCACUGGGUCUCCAUUUGUUUAUGUUUUCCCUCAGCCUAUGGGCUUCAUCCCGGUCUUGGGGAGCAACAGCGGCUUCUGCCUCUGGGGAAAGGCCAUACUCCUUCCAGGUCUAAGCUCCUGGCCCCUCCACGGCUUGAAUCUGUGCCUUUCCUCACCUUCCCAAAGCAUGAAGUCUCAGGGUAUCCCCAGGGCUUCCACAUCCCACCUUUCACCCAGGAACCCAGGCUGGCAGCCAAGAUGGCAGCAAGGCCCCUUGUGGGAGUGCUGGAGGGAACCCAGAGGCAGGACACAGGUUUCACCCAGAGUCACUUGUCCAUUCCAGCCUGAGCAGCCACUUUGACCCGCAGGCCACCCGGCAAUAGGACACUAGACUGCACCCUGUACAACCUCAGAGACAACAACGGGGCUCCUUCCACACCCUCACAGCCCAAACACUGAGAUGGGGCUCAGCCUGAGACAGUCAAAGGAGCCACUAUAGCAUUAAUUGCCCUAUUGUCCUGUGGGUCCAUUCCACUAUUGCCCCAUAGCACUCCUCCUCCAAGAUCAUGCUCCCUGUAGUCUUAUCCCAGACAACUGCUGAGCAUGACCCGUUCCUGAAGACCCAGGACUCCUCUGACAAGCAAAAGUGGACCAGGAACUCCCCUUGCUUAACCUACCUGUCAUGCACAGUAGCCUACGAUUCCUGCUCAUCUGACUCUUCUCUCUUGCAUUUCAGGUCAGACAUGGGCAUCAGCUUGAUAGCUCUGUGUCCUUGCUCCCUGCCCAUUUUCAUCCCCAGAGGGAUGUUCCCUACUAACAUCCUCGAACCUUUAAUCCUACCUCAGUGCCUGCUCCUUGGUGGACCCAGAUUAACACACUAGACAGCUGGUAACCCCCAACUGGCAGAAUGAAAAGUUUCAUCUCCCUUGAAAGCAGCCAGGUUCAUCUUCCCAAAAGCUAGGACUUGAAUCAUGCUGCAGACCUUUUCCUGGCCAGCCUUCCCAAACAAGCAUCCCAGGCAUGCCCCUAAACCUGCCUGCCAAAGCUUCUCUCCAUGCUGCUCUCAGUUUCCUCAUCUGCAGAAUGUGAAGAUGAGUGUUCUGGCAAAGAUGUCUUGGGAGCACUUCACAUGCAGACUAUGUUGGUGGGACUGGAGGAGGAAGACUGGUUUAUUGGAGAUGACGCCCAGAAGAACAGAGAGAAACUCAUUCUGCAGUACCCUAUUUCCCAGGGAGCUGUCGCCAGCUAGGACCACCUGGAGAAGAUUUGGCAUCAUUCCUUCUACCAGGUGCGUCACACCGCUCCCGAAGACCACCCUCUGAUGGUGACUGAACCCCCUUUAAAUUCAUCAUCCACCAAAGAGAGAGUGUGCCAGGGGACAGGACUCUGGUUCCAUCACAAAAGCUGUUCUCCUGGCUAAGUGCCACACUUGUGUGUCCAUCACCUGUGGAUGCCUGUCUGUGGGGUCUCCAGUUUGGGAUCCUGUUCGAGACCUUCAAUAUACCUGCCCUGAGCUUAAUCAAUCAAGGAGUCCUUUCUCUAUAUGCUUCUGGCCAAACUUCUGGUAAGUGGCCCUCGGCGAUCCCCACUCACACAUCCUUGUCCCUGUGACUGGAGACUGGUAACACUCUAUAACACACAGCCUACUCUCUCCCUGACAAAUAAUCAAAGACAACUCUUCAAAGCUCACACCCCUCUGCCCCUUUCCUGACUCCCUCCGCUUUCAUCCUUCCUAGUUAAAUAGGCCUCUCCCAGACAUUAACAAUUUGCUAGGCUCACUUUUUCUUUUAACAGCUUUACUGAUAUGUAAUUGACAUUUAAUAAACUGCAUAUGUUUUAGGUGUACAGUUUGAAAAGUUCUGACAUGUGGAUGCACUCACGAAACCAUUACAACCACCAUGAGCAAAAUCUUUGCUGUUACCUGAGUAAUUAUUUCUGAUUUCAUUUUCCC